GGGCGGUGCCGCAGUUCGCUCCUGAACAGCAACAUAAACAGAGCGUGACUCAGGAAUCUGAAGAGAGGAGUCAGAUGAAGGACACGGAGUGUAAUCAAAGUCUAAAGGAGACAUGAUGUCAGUAAGGACUACCGAGGGCUUCACGUACAAUCAAAUAUAGAAAUGAUUCACUUUCUAGCCGGGCGCGGUGGCUCACGCCUGUAAUCCCAGGAGGCCGAGGCGGGCGGAUCACCUGAGGUCAGGAGUUCGAGACCAGCCUGACCAACAUGGAGAAACCCUGUCUCUACUAAAAAUACAAAAUUAGCUGGGCGUGGUGGCGCAUGGCUGUAAUCCCAGCUACUCUGGAGGCUGAGGCAGGAGAACCGCUCUAACCCGGGAGGCGGAGGUUGCGGCGAGCGGAGAUCACGGCGUCGCACUCCAGCCUGGGCAACAAGAGCGAAACACCGUCUUACAGAAAAAGAAAGGAAGGGAGGGAGGGAGGGAUUCACUUUCUGCCAUAAACUCAGAAAGGGGGCUCGUCUUCUGGAAAAGAGAGUAUCAAGCAAUUUAGGUGAUGACCUCAGUUGUUCCCCCACAUCUUAUUUAGUUCCAGUGGUUAGGUAUCCCUCACGUGACUAGAAAGCGCUGCCUGGAAUGCUAGUAGAAGAUUGGGCAUUAGGGCAGGUGAGGCGAAGCCUCGUUCUGGAUUUCCCCACCUAGAGUCAAAGAAGAAAGACCUUCCAACCAGUACUGUAGGGCAGCGACAGGGAGGACUGUGGAGUUUGCAAAGAAAAAGAACAGUGAAAAGGGGCUGCGUUGCCCAUACAAGUCGGGGCUUUGGAUAGCUCAUGACACAAAGACUCAAAAUAUGCAAUAUAGCAUCAUCAAAGGAGCAAAGGAUAGACUUCCGAUUUGAGACGGUGGAAUGAAAAGGUAUUUUUGGCUUUGCUGUCUCCUGAGGUGGCACUAAAACAACUGCGUGAUGGGUUGAAUUGUGUCGCCCAAAAAGAUGUGGAAGUUUUAACUCCCAUUAUUAGUGAAUUUGUCCUCGUUUGGAAACAAGGUCUUUGCAGAUGGUUAAAUUAAAAUUAGGUCAUUAGAGUGGAUGAUAGACAAUAGGACUGGUGUUCUUAUCAAAGCGGGGAAAUUUGGACACAAAAACAGUCCUGAAUAAAGGAAAGAGGAUGUGAAGACACAGGAAGAAUGUCAUCCACAACACAAAGAACACCUGAGGAUCUCAGAAGCUGGGAGACAGGCAUGGAACAGAUUCUUCCUCCCAGUCCUCAGAAGAACCUCACGCUGCUGACACUUUAAUAUCAGCCUUUCAGCCUCUGGAACAGUGAGACAAUACAUUUCUGUUGUUUGAAACAUCUACUUUGUGGUACUAUGUUACAGCAGCUCUAG
rnacentral:lncRNA from 10 species